CACUCCUGCGGGAGGCAGCAGUGGGGAAUUUUGGACAAUGGGCGAAAGCCUGAUCCAGCAAUGCCGCGUGCAGGAUGAAGGCCUUCGGGUUGUAAACUGCUUUUGUACGGAACGAAAAAGCUCCUUCUAAUACAGGGGGCCCAUGACGGUACCGUAAGAAUAAGCACCGGCUAACUACGUGCCAGCAGCCGCGGUAAUACGUAGGGUGCGAGCGUUAAUCGGAAUUACUGGGCGUAAAGCGUGCGCAGGCGGUUAUGUAAGACAGAUGUGAAAUCCCCGGGCUCAACCUGGGAACUGCAUUUGUGACUGCAUGGCUAGAGUACGGUAGAGGGGGAUGGAAUUCCGCGUGUAGCAGUGAAAUGCGUAGAUAUGCGGAGGAACACCGAUGGCGAAGGCAAUCCCCUGGACCUGUACUGACGCUCAUGCACGAAAGCGUGGGGAGCAAACAGGAUUAGAAACCCUUGUAGUCCCAUG
rnacentral:rRNA from 1 species